rnacentral:sRNA from 1 species
GUAGGUGGUGCUAGAGGCGACCGGGGGAUUGUAGGGCGACGGCGCUGCCGCCAUUUUGUGGGGUGUUUGUCGCAGCGGCCGAGGAGGGAAGACGGCAGUUUGGCGACAUUUCUCGGCCGAAGGGCCAUUUGCUUUUGCGGAGAUGCGGCAUUCCAAAAGAACUCACUGUCCUGAUUGGGAUAGCAGAGAAAGCUGGGGACAUGAAAGCUACCGUGGAAGUCACAAGCGGAAGAGGAGAUCUCAUAGUAGCACACAAGAGAACAGGCAUUGUAAACCACAUCACCAGUUUAAAGAAUCUGAUUGUGCUCCAUGUGCAUCCCUCUUGAAGCUUCGCACUCUGUUGAAGAGGACACUCAUCCCAGUCAUUAUUUAGAAGCAAGGUCCUUGAAUGAGCGAGAUUAUCGGGACCGGAGAUACGUUGACGAGUACAGGAAUGACUACUGUGAAGGAUAUGUUCCUAGACAUUAUCACAGAGACAUUGAAAACGGUUAUCGAAUCCACUGCAGUAAAUCUUCAGUCCGCAGCAGGAGAAGCAGUCCUAAAAGGAAGCGCAAUAGACACUGUUCAAGUCAUCAGUCACGUUCGGUAUGAUUGGUUUUGUUUUUAAUUUGAGUGGAGUUUUAUUUGUGUGUACUCUUAAUGAGCUGAUAAGUUUCUAAUUUUUUAUAUAUGUAUAUAAAAUACUAUUUGGAUAUAUUAUAAUUGUAUUUAUAUUACUUAAAUCCUUAAAGGAAAUCUCCAAAUUCUUGUAGCUGAUCUGUAUAUUUAUUAGCUAGCCCUCAUUUGCCCACAUUUCCUCAUAUUCUGCAGACCAGAUAAUGAGUUUAUUGAUUUUAAUAAUAAGAAUAUUUUUGUAUUUGUAACAUAUUCUUAUGAAAAAAUCACGCACCCAUAUCUUUUCUUUCAUCUUAAGCAUUUUUUUUUCUUAGAAAGCCUUUAUCUGGUACUUGAAAAUAAAUGUGAAACAUUGCACUGGUGGAUACCUAAAUGUUGCUAACCUGCAUAGAUUAUAGUUCCAUAGUACAGUGCAUCGUUGUCUGCAAUGCAUUCUUUUGAAGUUAUGAAAAUGGGUGCUGAAUGGGAAACAUCCAAAAAGUCUGCCCCCCCCACCUUUUUUUUUAACACUCGGACAUCUUCACCUGCUUGAACAGAGAACUUUGAAUUAGUUUCUCCCCAAGUUUUCUUCAGUAAAACUAGUUUUUAUUAGAUUGAACAUUGAAAUUAAAUAGCCUUUAUUUUCCCCUUUUAUUUUAAUCGUGUAUAUUUUAAAAUAUUGCUAAAUUAGAAUAAUUUCAAAUAGUCUUGACAUUUUAAAACAUUUUUCUGACAAACUAGACAUCUCAAUUCACAGCAUAUCCUAUUUAUAGCAAGAGAUAAGUAAAUCAUGACAUUGCAUUCUUUAAAUUUCAGACUUCAAUUAAAUCAGUAUUUUAAAGAGACAAUUGUGUUGUUUUUUUCUAUUGCAACUUUAAGUAUCUUAUCUGAAAAUCUGUUCCUUGCCAUGUUUUUCUUCUGUAACAUAAACUGUGCCCUGUGAAUUUCUGGGGACUGAAUUUGAAAUUGCUCCUGCCAACUGUUCGUGGCCUGGUGCUUAUCUGAAUGCCUGAAUAUCUCCCCGCUGAAUGAAUUGCGUAUUCUGCCCUGAAUUCACUCUGAUAUAUUGAUUGGCUGGACGAUCUUGGUGCUGCCCACUUGCCGUUCCAGAAGAGCCACCGAAGGAAAAGAUCCAGGAGUAUAGAGGAUGAUGAGGAGGGUCACCUGAUCUGUCAAAGUGGAGACGUUCUAAGAGCAAGAUAUGAAAUCGUGGACACUUUGGGUGAAGGAGCCUUUGGCAAAGUUGUAGAGUGCAUUGAUCAUGGCAUGGAUGGCAUGCAUGUAGCAGUGAAAAUCGUAAAAAAUGUAGGCCGUUACCGUGAAGCAGCUCGUUCAGAAAUCCAAGUAUUAGAGCACUUAAAUAGUACUGAUCCCAAUAGUGUCUUCCGAUGUGUCCAGAUGCUAGAAUGGUUUGAUCAUCAUGGUCAUGUCUGUAUUGUGUUUGAACUGCUGGGACUUAGUACUUAUGAUUUCAUUAAAGAAAACAGCUUUCUGCCAUUUCAAAUUGACCACAUCAGGCAGAUGGCGUAUCAGAUCUGCCAGUCAAUAAAUUUUUUACAUCAUAAUAAAUUAACCCAUACAGAUCUGAAGCCUGAAAAUAUUUUAUUUGUGAAGUCUGACUAUGUAGUCAAAUAUAAUUCUAAAAUGAAACGUGAUGAACGCACACUGAAAAACACAGAUAUCAAAGUUGUUGACUUUGGAAGUGCAACGUAUGAUGAUGAACAUCACAGUACUUUGGUGUCUACCCGGCACUACAGAGCUCCCGAGGUCAUUUUGGCUUUAGGUUGGUCUCAGCCUUGUGAUGUUUGGAGCAUAGGUUGCAUUCUUAUUGAAUAUUACCUUGGUUUCACAGUCUUUCAGACUCAUGAUAGUAAAGAGCACCUGGCAAUGAUGGAACGAAUAUUAGGACCUAUACCACAACACAUGAUUCAGAAAACAAGAAAACGCAAGUAUUUUCACCAUAACCAGCUAGAUUGGGAUGAACACAGUUCUGCUGGUAGAUAUGUUAGGAGACGCUGCAAACCAUUAAAGGAAUUUAUGCUUUGUCAUGAUGAAGAACAUGAGAAACUGUUUGACCUGGUUCGAAGAAUGUUAGAAUAUGAUCCAACUCAAAGAAUUACCUUGGAUGAAGCAUUGCAGCAUCCUUUCUUUGACUUAUUAAAAAAGAAAUGAAAUGGGAAUCAGUGGUCUUACUAUAUACUUCUCUAGAAGAGAUUACUUAAGACUGUGUCAGUCAACUAAACAUUCUAAUAUUUUUGUAAACAUUAAAUUAUUUUGUACAGUUAAGUGUAAAUACUGUAUGUUUUGUAUCAAUAGCAUAAUUAACUUGUUAAGCAAGUAUGGUCUUGAUAAUGCAGUAGAAAAAUUAAAAUUAAUUUUUCUUUUUGAAAUUACCAUUUUUAAAUACCUUUGAAAUAUCCUUUGUGUCCAGUGACAAAUGUGAUUGAUCUUGCCUUUUGUACAUGGAGGUCACCUCUGAAGUGAUUUUUUUUGAGUAAAAGGAAAUCUUGACUACUUUAUAUUCUUAAAGGAAUAUUCUUUAUAUACUUCAAAUUUAGAACUUAACUUUAAAAGUUUUUUUUCUGUAAUUGUUGAACAGGUGAUUAUUAUUAACUCUAGAUAAGCAGGUACUAGAAACCGAAACUCAGAAAAUGUUUACUGUUAGAAUUCUAUUAAAUUUUAAGUGUUGUAUUCUUUUUCAUUGGGUGAUAUCAGGGUGAUAAGCAGACAUUCAUGGAAAGGCUUGCUUUGUCCAUUGUGACAGUUUGUUUAAUAAAACCACAUACACACUCUAUUUAAGAUUAAAAUCUAACUGGAAAGUCAGCUUGGAAAAUGGACAUUUCCAAGUAUGUUUGGUGAGUCACAGAUAUAAAAAUAGAAAUUCUGAUGAGGUUUCAGUUUUUAAUACCUAGUCCUUAGGAGUCUUAACAUUGGCCAGCAUCUGUUUAUCAAAUGACAUAAAUACGUAAACCUAUGAGAAUUAAGUUUAUUAAUUAGGCAGUUUAUGUUUGUGAUAAUUCUUAUGGGAGAAAGAGGAUUUGAUUGGAAAGCAUUUUGGGAAGAUAGUGCUGCUGAAAUUUCCAGAAUUUAAUUGAUUGGUUAACAUAAACUUUUUGACUUUA